AUGGCCUGUUGCUUUGAUAAGAGGUGCUGUUCUCCUCCUGUUGGCUUCAGGUGACUCAGCAGUAGUAUGUGGCUGACAUUAAAUUAGAGUCACGUUUACGUAACACGUCAUAGUUUCGACGAGCUGUAACCACAGAGCUGAUGGGAGACUGGGGGGGUGUUUUUUACCUCAGAAGGUUCUCUGUUGGGACUGCCCACGCAGCCGAGAAGCAACUGAAGGGACUCUGCUUUCUUUUUGAGCUGCUUAAAACACAAGUGCUGUAAAAGAAGCGCCGAUUCAGAGUUACAGAAGUGGUGAGAAGAAAAAGGAGAGGUCAAGUAAUGCAGAGAGACAGAAACUCAGAUAUUAAACUUUCAGCAGAUGGAAUGAGUGCCCAUGUGCAAGCUUUGGUAGCAGAACAGCUUCAGGGGUUGGCCUUCAUGAGAAGAGACCUCCAUCUCCAACAGAGCCAGUGAUCUCUGAAAUACACCUGCUGCAGGAUAAAGAUCGAAAAGAAAUAUCUUCCUGGCAGCACUGCGUAUGGAAGGAAUAAGGAAAGUAACAAGGAGAAAGUUGCGCGCAUUUACAAGUGAGUACUGUGAAAACUAAUAAAGUAGUGCCUAAGCUUUUAUCAUACUUGUAUUGAUAAAAC
rnacentral:lncRNA from 1 species